GAUUAACGCUGGCGGCAUGCCUUAUGCAUGCAAGUCGAGCGGCAGCGGAAAGUAGCUUGCUACUUUGCCGGCGAGCGGCGGACGGGUGAGUAAUGUCUGGGAAACUGCCUGAUGGAGGGGGAUAACUACUGGAAACGGUAGCUAAUACCGCAUAACGUCGCAAGACCAAAGAGGGGGACCUUCGGGCCUCUUGCCAUCAGAUGUGCCCAGAUGGGGUUAGCUAGUAGGUGGGGUAACGGCUCACCUAGGCGACGAUCCCUAGCUGGUCUGAGAGGAUGACCAGCCACACUGGAACUGAGACACGGUCCAGACUCCUACGGGAGGCAGCAGUGGGGAAUAUUGCACAAUGGGCGCAAGCCUGAUGCAGCCAUGCCGCGUGUAUGAAGAAGGCCUUCGGGUCGUAAAGUACUUUCAGCGGGGAGGAAGGUGUUGAGGUUAAUAACCUCAGCAAUUGACGUUACCCGCAGAAGAAGCACCGGCUAACUCCGUGCCAGCCGCCGCAGUAA
rnacentral:rRNA from 1 species